CUUGAACGCUGGCGGCGUGCUUUACACAUGCAAGUCGAGCGGUAACAGGCCGCGAGUUGCUGACGGGUGGCGGAGGGGUGCGUAAUUGAUCGGAAUGGGCCCCGUCGCGGGACCUCACGUCUCGUAACAGCAGCUAAUACCCCAUACGCCCUAAGGACAAACGCAGGGGACCUCACUGCCUCGCGCGAGUUGAGCGGGCGGUGUCGGAUUGGGUAGUUGGUGGGGUAAAGGCUCACCAAGCCAACGAUCUGCAGCUGGUCUGAGAGGACGACCAGCCACACUGGGACUGAGACACGGCCCAGACUCCUACGGGAGGCAGCAGUGGGGAAUUUUGGACAAUGGGCGCAAGCCUGAUCCAGCAAUGCCGCGUGCAGGAAGAAGGCCUUCGGGUUGUAAACUGCUUUUGUACGGAACGAAACGGCUCUGGUUAAUACCCGGGGCUAAUGACGGUACCGUAAGAGUAAGCACCGGCUAACUACGUG
rnacentral:rRNA from 1 species